rnacentral:lncRNA from 1 species
UUCAUAAGCUCUGAAUUGAUCUUAAGGUGCGAGCUCAGCUCGUAGCUGAUAGUCUGAGAGAUCAAAUCUCGUAUCUUUUUAAUGGCGACUAUCAUGUCUGUUUUGUGCUUUUAGUCCUUCUUUCUUGGUUGUGACUUUGUAGAUUUGUGCCAGAUAAACUGAUUUAGGCUUUGAUUAUAGCCUUUUUAUCCUCCUAAGGAUUUCUUCAUUUAUGAGUCCUUUUGGAGAGAGCUCGGUCUCUUUCAGUGGCCUUUUAUACUUUCAGCUUUUGAGGAUGUAAGUCUAUCCGUGCUGGGAGCUCGGUCUCUUGCUUUGUAGCUAAACUUUUAUUGUUAGCAUCUUAAUUCGAGAUCGGCGCUUUUUUAGCUAUUAGGCCUGACUAUCCGAGCUGGAAGUUCGGCCUCUUCCUUUGUACCUUGAGUUUUGAGAGGAUAAGUCUAUCUGAGCUGGG